rnacentral:rRNA from 1 species
CCCUUAGACGUUCUGGGCCGCACGCGCGCUACACUGACCAGUGCAACAAGCAUCCGUCCUUGGCCGACAGGCCCGGGCAAUCUUUGAACGCUGGUCGUGAUGGGGUUAGACUUUUGCAAUUUUUGGUCUUCAACGAGGAAUUCCUAGUAAACGCAAGUCAUCAACUUGCAUUGAUUACGUCCCUGCCCUUUGUACACACCGCCCGUCGCACCUACCGAUUGAAUGGUCCGGUGAAGCCUCCGGAUUGGCGCGCACCUCGGUGCCGCCGAGAAGUUGGCUAAACCUUACCAUUUAGAGGAAGGUGAAGUCGUAACA